rnacentral:rRNA from 1 species
AGUGAACGCUGGCGGUAGGCCUAACACAUGCAAGUCGAACGGCAGCACAGUAAGAGCUUGCUCUUACGGGUGGCGAGUGGCGGACGGGUGAGGAAUACAUCGGAAUCUACUUUUUCGUGGGGGAUAACGUAGGGAAACUUACGCUAAUACCGCAUACGACCUACGGGUGAAAGCAGGGGAUCUUCGGACCUUGCGCGAUUGAAUGAGCCGAUGUCGGAUUAGCUAGUUGGCGGGGUAAAGGCCCACCAAGGCGACGAUCCGUAGCUGGUCUGAGAGGGUGAUCAGCCACACUGGAACUGAGACACGGUCCAGACUCCUACGGGAGGCAGCAGUGGGGAAUAUUGGACAAUGGGCGCAAGUCUGAUCCAGCCAUACCGCGUGGGUGAAGAAGGCCUUCGGGUUGUAAAGCCCUUUUGUUGGGAAAGAAAAGCAGCAGGUUAAUACCCCGCUGUUCUGACGGUACCCAAAGAAUAAGCACCGGCUAACUUCGUG